CAAGGGGACAAAAAUAUUGUCCCUUAAAAAAAAAAUUCAACUAACUUCCUCCACUGUUCUACAUGUAUAAUAUAUUCAUUAUAUAUGUUUAAUGUUGUUUUUCUACUUGACAUUCUAAGAUUAAGGUUUACAGAAACUGAAAGUUAAUGAGAGAUUUGUAUUGGUUUUCUUGCUAUUUGAGCAACCUCCAAUCAUGGACCUUGAAUGGACCUUGAAUAAUAGCACUGUAAACUUUUAUUUUGUCUCCUAAAACCUUGUCAGUUUGUUUUCUGGAUGCAGAUUAAGACUAGACAUGGAUUAAACCGCUCUGUCAGGGGUGAUUCUCUUUGAAAAUCCCUUUAGUCGAGAACUAGGCUUAGUCUAUCUCUGUAAACCAAUUCUGUGGUGUCAGUCCCCCUCUCCUUAUCUGUAAUCCAGUUCUUUUCUGACUUAAAGACAGAAAAGGAAGGGAAAUGUCUUUAUUGGCUGGAGGUCAGCAGGGCUGUUGAAAGUUCAGGCAUGUGGUUCUUCAGCCCACACCCUUGUUGAGAUGCUGAUAAUGAUGCUUUAGGAAGUUAUUUGUUCCACUGUGGCAGCCUGAGUGGGUUUUAUGAUUCAGCAGAUUAUUUAGAACAAAUUAAUCCACCGUUUCACCAUCUUUGACAAACAACAGAUCGGAUGUCUUUCAUUUCUAAUGGAGAGAUCUGUGCUGAGUAUCGACCAUAUGCGUAUGUGAAAAUUUUGAUUCGUUUUGAGCUUUGAGAAACAUUCAAACUUUUGCAGCUGUGAUAUAUUUUAAUCAAAACUAUGAGUGUAAGUGAAGGGCUGCAUCACAACCCGUUUGAAAGUUCUGUGCAUCUGCCUCUAAGAGGGACAAUCAUACGUCAGAAUGUCGGAGAUAGGCUUAAAAGAUCCAACCAAACACAGUUGGUGGCAGGUAAUCACAAGUUUACUUUGAUGUAUACAUAUGCUUUUUUGUGUAAUGCAGCAAGACAUGAUGAUCUUCAUAUCACAUUCAAAGUUAGUGUGAUAUAAAGUGUGAAAUAAAGGCAGUAUGUGUCAAA